rnacentral:rRNA from 1 species
CGAAAGAGAAGCGAAGCGGUGACGUGGAGCAAACCUCAGAAAGCCAAUCUCAGUUCGGAUUGUAGGCUGCAACUCGCCUACAUGAAGUUGGAAUCGCUAGUAAUCGCGAAUCAGAAUGUCGCGGUGAAUACGUUCCCGGGUCUUGUACACACCGCCCGUCACACCACGAGAGUUUACAACACCCGAAGUCAGUGGCCUAACCGCAAGGAGGGAGCUGCCUAAGGUGGGGUAGAUGAUUGGGGUGAAGUCGUAACAAGGUAAC